UCGGGAAUUUUGGGCAAUGGGGGAAACCCUGACCCAGCAACGCCGCGUGAAGGAUGAAGUAUUUCGGUAUGUAAACUUCGAAAGAAUAGGAAGAAUUAAUGACGGUACUAUUUAUAAGGUCCGGCUAACUACGUGCCAGCAGCCGCGGUAAUACGUAGGGACCAAGCGUUGUUCGGAUUUACUGGGCGUAAAGGGCGCGUAGGCGGCUCGGUAAGUCACUUGUGAAAUCUCUGAGCUUAACUCAGAACGGCCAAGUGAUACUGCAGUGCUAGAGUGUGGAAGGGGCAAUCGGAAUUCUUGGUGUAGCGGUGAAAUGCGUAGAUAUCAAGAGGAACACCUGAGGUGAAGACGGGUUGCUGGGCCAACACUGACGCUGAGGCGCGAAAGCCAGGGGAGCAAACGGGAUUAGAUACCCCGGUAGUCCUGGCCCUAAACGAUGAAUACUUGGUGUCUGGAGUUUUAAUGCUCCGGGUGCCGUCGCUAACGUUUUUAGUAUUCCGCCUGGGGAGUACGCUCGCAAGAG
rnacentral:rRNA from 1 species